rnacentral:misc_RNA from 1 species
CCGAGUCAUCUCCACACACCAGAGUCAAACUGAUGACUAGCUUAACAGGGAGGCAGGUAAUUGAAUCGCAUUGCCCCUCUGCAGCAUAGCCUCUGCACAGUAUCUGAUCAGCCUAGAGCCUGCAGUUGUCCAGGGUCUCUGCUGCACUUCUCUAACAGACUUUAAAGAAUUGGAGCUUUCUAAUGAAGGAUACUGCAGAUGGUAGAUAAUAAAGCUGGCAGCCUGCACGGUUAUCUUAAAAUAGUGAGGAGUAGUACUUUUAGAAGUGGUUCAACUGGCCCUUGUUGAUAGGUUCAUGAGUCACAAACAAAUUCAAUCCUAGCAUCAUUAGUAGUUACACAACCUCUCAACUGUCAGCCAAAAGGUGUCAUCUGCUCAUUCUUCGACCCGUCAACUUGACUUUGCCCUAGAACAGAUAUUUCAGAAUGUGUCUGAUUUGCAGUCAAAUUUUCCUCUGGCACUUCACCGUGUACUACAUUUGAAUUGGGAGGGAGAACCAACCUAUUGCUGUUACUCACUACUUUAGCCCGCCUUAUCAAUUUCUGCUUCAAAGUGCCUGCUUUUAGCUUUGAUGGCCCCUUCAAAGAGCCCACUUUAAGAGCCAAAGAAGUUGGCAUGGCUUUGCGACUGCCCCUCUCAGCUUUAAUAGCAGCUAUAAGAGAAUCAGCUGCAGGCCCCAGACCCUUUCUUCCCACGAGCUUCACUCCUAGCUUCUCACAGAGAUAAUUCAACCUUAUUUCAUCACCCCCUCUCACCUCUCGUAGCUCAAAAGCUUGUUGUUUUGAUAACAAUGUGAAAACAUGAAGCUGCUGCUGCUGAUUAAAAUGUGACUGAAGCUGCUGAAAAAGUAAUUUAUUGGAAUGUUGUUGGCCUGGCCCACAACUUUCCUGACUUUUCCUUCGAGGCUCAUUAAAUGUCACCCUCAGAAUAGCAGUAGACUUUGGGUCAGCAUUCUUUCGACUAAAAAUGAUAGAAAAGCUCCCAAAUUCUAAAUCAGGCUCCCUAAAUAAAUCAACAAGAAGGGAAGCACAGUUAUGAGCAUUCUUUGAAGGGCUCCGACCAACCUUCAUCCUCAAGGUUCGAGCACUAACAUAGUGAGCUAUAUUUGCAGCUUCCCUCAAACCACUGAGAAAAGCUCCGUGCAUAGUUGCAGGAUACCGCCUAGUGGUGGCCUCCCCUGCAAAGAAGAGUCUUCCAUCCCCAACACUUUCUGCUAAUAUAUCAUAGUCAUCUCCAGAUGCCCCAACAGCAACGUUAGAGUAAGAACCAAGGGUAAAAGGAUCACUACCCCAUCUUGUGCAGACAGUUUGGAUAGGCUCUGGAACAGUGAUUCCCUUUGGUUCAUAUAUACCCUUAAGAAUCUGAAGAACCUGUGUCACUGCAUCUGUGGGGGGCAUACUCUCAAACUUAUGUGCAGCUUCACCUGCUACCAGAGCAAUCAAUAGUGGAUCACCAGAAACUGUUGUAUAGCUAUAAAACAAAAAGAACUCCCCUCGAGUGCUUGAGUCAUCAGUCAAAUGCCCAAAUGUGUCAAGAUCAGUUUCCCAGAACACAUAAGGAAAAAGCAUUGCAACCUUAUUCAACAGCCCAUACCCCAACCUCUUUAUCCCAUCAAGCUUCCUCUGCGGCAAUUCAGGAAUAAACUUUAUGGACCCACUCUUCAAUACCCCGAGUGGAACUGUACACAAUGCCAUAUCUCCUUCAAAAACCUGACUUCCAGAAAUAACCUGCACCCCAUCACUCCCAUACCUAAUAGUAUGCACGGUCUUCUCAUACAAAAUUGGCACAUUCUCUGCUAAAGCCUGAACCAACCUCCCAUUCCCUCCCGGCAUAAAACAAUGAUCUCCUCCCAUAUCAUAGGGAUCAUCCUGGUCCCAAAACGCCAGUGAAAGCUUUGACAACAAACCAGCGUUGGCAUAUUCCAAAUUUGCACA